GGGGUUGUAGCUCAGUGGUAGAGUGCUUGCCUAGCAUGUAUGAGAAACUGGGUUUGAUUCUCAGCAUCACAU
rfam:Ictidomys tridecemlineatus contig023751, whole genome shotgun sequence.